GCUGAAAUAGCUCAGUUGGGAGAGCCUUAGGCUGAAGAUCUGAAGGUCCCUGGUUCAAUCCCAGGAUUCAACA
rfam:Loxodonta africana unplaced genomic scaffold scaffold_135, whole genome shotgun sequence.